UACGGGGGGGGCAAGCGUUGUUCGGAAUUACUGGGCGUAAAGAGCGUGUAGGCGGCCGAGUAAGUCCGACGUGAAAUCUGGAGGCUCAACCUCCAGCGGUCGUUGGAAACUACUCGGCUAGAGUCCGGAAGAGGAGAGUGGAAUUCCUGGUGUAGCGGUGAAAUGCGCAGAUAUCAGGAAGAACACCGAUGGCGAAAGCAGCUCUCUGGGACGGUACUGACGCUGAGACGCGAAAGCGUGGGGAGCGAACAGG
rnacentral:rRNA from 1 species